rnacentral:lncRNA from 1 species
GGUCCAACCACUUGUUCAGAACGCUGCUCACGAAGUGCCACCAUAUCGUAAAUAAUGAAGUAAAGUGCAUUUUGCAUAAUAAUUACAGUGUAAAUAUUUUAAAACAGGAGCGGACUCAACGCCAAGGUGUUUCUGGUAGUAUUAGAUGGCAGAGAUAUGCAUAAACCUUGUACAAUCUUAUCACAAAAUGCUGCGCUCCUGAUGCAAAGAUCAAAAUGAGCCACGACGAGGCGUCAUCAAAUGACUAAAAUGAGUUACCAAGUGGGGGAAAACGCGUGAGUGAUGGGAGCGCGUCAUGUCGACAGCGUCAGCGUCAGGCAACUGGCAGGCGGAUAGGAUGUUGAUGAUGAUGAUGGCAUGGCCAUAUCGGAUGGGCUGCCAAUGGGAACAGAACGGGAGGAAUGGGUGAAUGUCGGCCACAGUUGGCUGACAUUACACUUGUCAACGGGUGUAAUUGCGUUAACGAUG